CCUACGGGUGGCAGCAGUCGAGAAUCAUUCACAAUGGGGGAAACCCUGAUGGAGCGACGCCGCGUGGGGGAAUGAAGGUCUUCGGAUUUUAAACCCCUGUCAUGGGGGAGCAAAUUAAAAAGAUAGUACCACAAUAGGAAGAGACGGCUAACUCUGUGCCAGCAGCCGCGGUAAUACAGAGGUCUCAAGCGUUGUUCGGAAUGACUGGGAGUAAAGCGUGCGUAGGGUGUUUGUUAAGUCGUGUGUGAAAGGCGCGGGCUCAACCCGCGGACGGCAUGUGAUACUGCGAGACUAGAGUAAGGGAGGGGGAACCGGAAUUCUCGGUGUAGCAGUGAAAUGCGUAGAUAUCGGGAGGAACACUCGUGGCGAAGGCGGGUUCCUGGACAUUAACUGACGCUGAGGCACGAAGGCCAGGGGAGCGAAAAGGAUUAGAUACCCUUGUAGUC
rnacentral:rRNA from 1 species